rnacentral:rRNA from 1 species
AUACGUAGGGGGCGAGCGUUGUCCGGAAUGAUUGGGCGUAAAGGGCGCGUAGGCGGCUUUGCAAGUCAGUAGUGGAAGUCCAUUUUUCAAGGAUGGAAGUGCUACAGAAACUGCGGAGCUUGAGUGCAGGAGAGGUUAUCGGAAUUCCCGGUGUAGCGGUGAAAUGCGUAGAGAUCGGGAGGAACACCAGUGGCGAAGGCGGGUAACUGGACUGCAACUGACGCUGAGGCGCGAAAGUGUGGGGAGCAAACAGGAUUAGAUACCCUGGUAGUCCACACUGUAAACGAUGAAUGCUAGGUGUGGGAGGUAUCGACCCCUUCUGUGCCGCAGUAAACACAGUAAGCAUUCCGCCUGGGGAGUACGGUCGCAAGAUUAAAACUCAAAGGAAUUGACGGGG